UACGAAGGGGGCUAGCGUUGCUCGGAAUCACUGGGCGUAAAGGGUGCGUAGGCGGGUUUUUAAGUCAGAGGUGAAAUCCUGGAGCUCAACUCCAGAACUGCCUUUGAUACUGAGAAUCUUGAGUAUGGGAGAGGUGAGUGGAACUGCGAGUGUAGAGGUGAAAUUCGUAGAUAUUCGCAAGAACACCAGUGGCGAAGGCGGCUCACUGGCCCAUAACUGACGCUGAGGCACGAAAGCGUGGGGAGCAAUCAGG
rnacentral:rRNA from 1 species